UGUCCAUAAAGACAUCUGCCUUGUGACUUCUAAACCUUGAUUGGGCCCAAAUUUCGAAAACGAUCCAAAAGCCACUUGCGACAGCCAAAGCCUCCGAGUGCCGCAACGAUUCCGGAGGCAGGAUUGUAAAACUGGCGCGAAUUCGUUUCUCAGGCAAUCCUUUUCGUCGGAAUCCCAAAUUUAUAGAUUUUCUUUGGCUGCCGAACAAUACCGUGACAACAAAUUCAUAGCAAAUGAAUCUUUACGCUCAAGACCUUUCAGCGUUAGAUUUUAAUUUUGGCUUCUCCGAACCCUACGGUCAGCCCUUCUCUCGCCUUCGCGCUUCCUCCGCUAUUUCUUCAACUGCCUACCUCGAUGAAGACGACGACGUUUACCGUCCUGGCUGGGCUACAAGGAAUAUGCGCGAUAUGCCCUGCGACAUACCCCCCAUUCGCCGGCAUGAUGGUUCGUCGCCUCUCCCACUGGGAAUGGACUGGAGUCCUCCUCCUCAGAAAUGGGAUGGACCAGCUACAGCGUGGCCUCAUGAUCCGCCUACUGGAUGGAGCUAUUGUGUCACAGUUCCUUCUUGGACUACAAUUCCCAAAUCAAAUGGUUCAGAUCCUGUCGUGUUUUACAUGGUUCAAGUUGGAUUGCAAUCUCCAGAGGGUAUCACCUCUACAAGAGGAAUAUCAAGAAGAUUUAAUGAGUUUCUAGAGCUAUUUUACGAGCUCAAAAGAGCAUUUCCUAAGAAACAAUUGCCUCCAGCUCCACCAAAAAGGGUUUUGAGAAUGAAAAACAGUGCAUUUUAUGACGAUCGGAAGUCUUCCUUGGAGGAAUGGAUGGAAAAGAUGCUGUCAGACAUUGACGUAUCACGAAGUGUUCCAGUGGCAAGUUUUCUUGAACUGGAAGCUGCUGUGAGAUCUUUUUUCAGUGAUGUUAAUCACCAGAUCACGGAUGAGGUUUCUUCUGGUAAUAUCAUGGUCCACCCAAUUACACUAUCAAGCUCAACUGUGUCUAUUGCUCCUUCUUCUUCUGUUACUUCCAGUCCACGUGAUGAUACUUGUUAUGGGGAACCUGAACUUGGAGCUCCAAGAUAUGGAGAUGACGAGGGUGUAGAAUUGGGAAUCGAUGAACCUGCACUGGAAAAAUCUGGAACAGACAUGGAAAAUCUAGUAGUAAGAUCAAAUGAAGAAAUGUCUGAGAGACAAUUCCUUGCACCAAAGGAUGAACAAGUGCCCACAGAAUCAACAAUAAUGUCAAUUUUAGAGGAGAACAAAAUUUUGCUGCAAGAGUUGGAUGGUUCAAGAGAACAAAUUGAGUACUUGCAGAAACAAUAUGAAGAGUUUGUGAUGAAACCAAAAGCAGAUUUUGAUUUGUUUGUCAAAGAAAUUAAAUCUCUUCGAGGUACUCAGUCAGACUUGAGGCAGGAAUGCAGCCAAAUGAUGAAAGAGAAAUCAGAAUUAGAGAGGAUACUUCAAACCGAAAGACAAAGAAUGGAGCAAGCUGAUAUUGCUAAGCAAAAGCUUCUGCAUGAUUGUGAAGUUCUUCACCACCGCCUUCAAGAUUCUACUGUCGACUUUUUCAUUGAGCAGGAAAAUAAACUAAUUUUGGAAACUGCUUCGACAGCUGACGACGCAAUAGAUCUGUUGGCAACAUCUGAUAAUCACAUUAACCUUCUUUUAGCAGAGGCAAAGCUUCUGGCUCAUGAUGCUAACAACAGCGAUGACACUGCUGGAUCAGCCCGUCCAAAUGGAACUGAUAAAGGGGCAGCUGACCAAGUAUUAAGUAACAUACUAGCAAAUAUGCUUGUCGAAAAUGCCCGAUUAAGGAUGCAGAUGAACGCCGUCAUCCGCUGUGUUCUAAAUGCAAAUGGGACAAGUGAGAAAGAUGAAGAUGAAUCUCUCAAGGAAGAACUGUUCUAAGCAAGUUUUUAGAGGAAGAGAUUCCUGAAUGCACAUAUACAAUGACCUUAUACUGUCGUGGCAAGAAAUGGGAGAGCUGUAGAUUUUGAAUAAAUGCAACAGAUGUUGCCCAUUAAUUUGCAAGUCCUGACAAAUUUGGUUGUCGGAGGUGUAGAAAUGAUGUAUCAAUUAAAUAUUUAACAAAGUGCCUUUUGGCUUGGCUAAUCAUGGGCAUUUGAAGACUUUGCACUUGUAAACUCCUGGGCCUGAUGCAGAAUUGCUUUUAACCAUCUGCAUACAGAGAAGAAGUAAAAACUAGCUCAUGUGGAUAAAGGGAAAUUUCUACUGACAUGUUGGCAUUAGAAGAAAAUUUUGAAAGAGUUCUAUUACCAUAACAUCAUCUACUUCCGUGUAUUAUUGAAACUAUUAUUUCUCUUACCCGGAGAUAUUAAAUUAAUAAAUUUCUAUUUACAUUUUGAA